GCUUGGUAAAAGUUCUUGUUGGGGAAAGAUAAAGUAUACCAUCAAGUGAAACGUAUUACGAUUGGAACGAAUUGUUACCCCUUACACAGGAUUUUUUUAAAGUUUUUGUUUCAUUAUCAAGAAUAGCAGUCGAUAGUUGAAAUCAAUUCAUAGUGUUUAUUUCAAUCGAAAUAACACUUGAAAGCUAUUUCAACAACGCCAGCGUGUGUGGUUAUUUAGACGACAUAUAUAUGUUCUUUAAAUAAUCAGUCAAGUUGUUUUUUUAUAAAUGUAAAAUGUUAGUAAUUCACCCUCACUUACUCUUAUUAUAUUCAAUUUUUAAAGUUUAGACGUAGUAUUAGAAUGUCUCUCAAUGGUCGUCUUACGAUAAACAAUCAAAAAUACCAAAUUCCGAGGAUAAUUCUAAACGGAAAGUCCCUAAGCAAAUGGCAAAAUCAAAAGCUCAAACAUAUCAAACGAAUGGAAAACAACUGUCAUAUUCCCGAAAUGGUACAUUCAUUUUCUUUCUGUUUAAAUGAUAAACUUUAUCCCCAAUAGUUAAUAUUCCGUUUCUUGCUGAUGAUGUUCUGUUUGGAUUCUCAUAGAGUGCUUAUUUCUCAGUUAGUUCAUAUGCGCGUUUUCGUUUGUCGUAUGAUCUCAUAAUUCAAUGAACGUAAUAUUUUUAUUUUAUCUCACUUAUACUUGAUUGUCAAACAAAAGGAGUAAGUUCGGUAAGAGCCAUAUUUUAGAAACUAAAUAUCAAAGUCAGAUCUGUAAAUAUUAUGUCAAAAUAAAAAAAAAAAUCGACGCAUACGCUUAUGUUUCCUGUCAAAAAAAAAACAAUUGAAAUGUACACGUUUUUAUUGAAUUUUUGUGAAAAAUUCAAAUAAGUGAUAUUUGUUGAGUCAAAAAUAAAACCCAAGCACGUGAAUUUUCAACGAAAAGAUGUACUUCCCAUCUAGUCAUUGUGUUAACAAGGUGCAUUGUGGUAUUGGUCAAUAAAUCGUUAUUUGGAAUUUUAGCUAUACAUAGGGGCGUUAUCGAACCUACUUUUUUACUUACAUUUUUCACAAAUUCAGAUAUGUAUUGUUGAAAGAACGUUCUGAUCAUUGCAGGCAUUUAGCAAACGGAUUAUAUUAACACCAAGCUUUUUUAAUAUCAUUUGACAAAUUAGACUUCAGAAACUGUUCUUCAGAUUUAUCAUGUUGGCUUUGCAGACUUAUUGAUAGAGG
rnacentral:lncRNA from 1 species